UAAUGUCCCAGAAAUCUUUGCUCUGACAUCUAUUAUGAGUUUUCCAUUCAUUAAUCCACUCUUCAUGCAUUAUGAUUUCGAUCUACCUCUUCGUUCACCCUGUAACCGCCUCGGACUCCAUCUGUAAAUAUCGGCCCUCACUUCCAUUCACAGCACAUCUCAAAUGAUUUACUCAAACAUACAAUCUCAUAGAAGCAACAUAUUCAGAUGGCGAAUUCAUACACUCUGCUUGCCAAUUUGACAGCCGGCCGAUGCUCUAAUACUGCUGAGUUCCGCCUGCUGAGGUUCUGAGAGGCCAGAAAUAUCAACAAAGGAGGGGAGCUGAUGAGUAUUGAGAUGCUGCUCAUCGAUGAGGCUGAUACGCUGGUUCAAGGGUGUGUUCCUGCUGUUCACCAACGUAAGUUCAGGGAACGUCUUACUGAAGGAUCAGUUUACACUCUCAGCGGGUUUGACGUCACACGCAGCAACCCGAAAUUAAAGUUGACUGAUGGCCCUGUCUCCAUUCGUUUCAAUGAAGGAACUGCUUUUGAGAAGCUAGCUGCCACUGCUAGAACCAUACCUACAGAACAUAAAGUCUAGGUAAUGAGGGAUCUUUGAUGGUGUUAUAGUGCACUGGGAGCUCAAUUGAUCAUAUGAGUUGCGUUGGAGAUCUUGCAUGACGCUUUCAGGAAACCAGUAAGAUUAAUCUUAUUAAGGCCUUGAAGCGAUAGAUUCCGUUUUCUCUUUAUAAAUGAACAAUCAACUUGAAGCUGCUCUGCUGCA